rnacentral:lncRNA from 1 species
UUAGUUUGAAUAAUUUAAGUCCGUAAUUGCUUAGAUUAUUCUUACAUGAGAACACUUGAGAUAAAACCAAAGGAAAUUGUAUGAUCUAGCGUUAUCUCCAUACGUUUGGGUAGCUAGGAUUGGAUCUCUCUAUUUCUUAAUGCAAUUGACAAUUGUUUUGAUGCCUAAGGUCCAAGGACGUUCCUUGACAAUUUGUUAAUUAGUAAUUAAUUAGAGGACGUUUCAUAAUUAAUUUAAUCAUAAGGAGAGAUAAUGGUGGUGAGAAGCGUCUUCCAUCUCCAUAACUAAUCUAUUGAAUCAACCCAAAAGAACAAAGUGUCUGUGAUCAAUCCCAACAACUAAAGUGGAUCCAAUACUUCAACUAGAACUUUCUCAUUAUUGAUUACUUUUUAUUUAAUUAUUUGCUUUCCAUUAUUUUUCUCAUUAUUAGUUUACUACAAUCAAUCUCAAACCCCCCUAUUAUUUUGUUGACAGUUUUGAUCCCAAUUUUCAGUUUAUCUCAUUUGAUCCCACUUUCAGUCUUUUAUUUCAUUUUUAAUUUAUUAUCGUUCCAGUUUAUUUUAUUGGUCAUAAAAAGAGAAAUAGGUAAGUUCUCAAUUCUCUGUGGAUUCGAUCCUUUCACCACUAUCUGCAGUUGUAAAUUGUUGAUAACCAGAAAGUUAUUUUUGACCGGCUUCGACAACCGCGAGUCAGCCACUGAACCUACUUGUGGAAGCAACCAUUUGGCCGCCUAACCUGCCUUCGAAGGUUUUGACCUUCGGAUAUGUAAGGGACUUUAGGCCGCCGAACCUACAGCCGAAAGUCUCAUGUUUAGCCUUUUUCUGCAUGUUUCCUACGAGUGUUUUUGUUUGUUCUUAAAGGUUUCUUGGGGGGUUGUUUUAAGUGUUGUAAAAGUUAUGUUUGGUCCCUCAUUUAAGUCCAUAUGUAUAGGAUUGGACUUGGGAGACCGUAGAGGCUUGCAGUGAGGUAACUGAUUUAGUAUUAGGCGUGCAUCAGCCAGAG